GUAAUGGGUUACUAGGGUUCCGGUUUAACGACGCAGGUCCGAGAGUAACCGACCGCCCUCUGGCGGUUACACGGCGGGAUAAAAGCCCGGGAGGA
rnacentral:sRNA from 2 species